CCUACGGGUGGCAGCAGUUAUUACUAUUUUUCCCUUUUCUUCCUCCUUCCCCCGCCCCGUCGCGUGCCGGAUGACGGCCCUACGGGUUGUAAACUGCUUUUAUACGGGAAUAACGCGCCUUAUGUGUAGGGCUUUGCAUGUACCGUAUGAAUAAGGACCGGCUAAUUCCGUGCCAGCAGCCGCGGUAAUACGGAAGGUCCGGGCGUUAUCCGGAUUUAUUGGGUUUAAAGGGAGCGUAGGCCGCAUGUCAAGCGUGCUGUGAAAUGUCCGGGCUCAACCCGGGCCUUGCAGCGCGAACUGGCGUGCUUGAGUCCGCGGAAAGCAGGCGGAAUUCGUCGUGUAGCGGUGAAAUGCUUAGAUAUGACGAAGAACCCCGAUUGCGAAGGCAGCUUGCUGCAGCGGAACUGACGCUGAUGCUCGAAAGCGCGGGUAUCGAACAGGAUUAGAUACCCGGGUAGUC
rnacentral:rRNA from 1 species